rnacentral:rRNA from 1 species
GACGAACGCUGGCGGCGUGCUUAACACAUGCAAGUCGAACGGAAAGGCCCUGCUUUUGUGGGGUGCUCGAGUGGCGAACGGGUGAGUAACACGUGAGUAACCUGCCCUUGACUUUGGGAUAACUUCAGGAAACUGGGGCUAAUACCGGAUAGGAGCUCCUGCUGCAUGGUGGGGGUUGGAAAGUUUCGGCGGUUGGGGAUGGACUCGCGGCUUAUCAGCUUGUUGGUGGGGUAGUGGCUUACCAAGGCUUUGACGGGUAGCCGGCCUGAGAGGGUGACCGGCCACAGUGGGACUGAGAUACGGCCCGGACGCCUACGGGAGGCAGCAGUGGGGAAUAUUGCGCAAUGGGCGGAAGCCUGAUGCAGCAACGCCGCGUGCGGGAUGACGGCCUUCGGGUUGUAAACCGCUUUCGCCUGUGACGAAGCGUGAGUGACGGUAAUGGGUAAAGAAGCACCGGCUAACUACGUG